rnacentral:rRNA from 1 species
AGAGUUUGAUCAUGGCUCAGGAUGAACGCUAGCGGCAGGCCUAACACAUGCAAGUCGAACGGUAACAUAAGGUGCUUGCACUUUGAUGACGAGUGGCGCACGGGUGCGCAACGCGUAUAGAACCUACCCUGUACAGGGGGAUAGCCCAGAGAAAUUUGGAUUAAUACCCCGUGGUAAAUAUGAAUGGCAUCAUUUAUAUUUUAAAGUUUUCGGACGGUACGGGAUGGCUAUGCGUCCUAUUAGUUAGAUGGUGAGGUAGCGGCUCACCAUGGCAGCGAUAGGUAGGGGCCCUGAGAGGGGGAUCCCCCACACUGGUACUGAGACACGGACCAGACUCCUACGGGGGCAGCAGUGAGGAAUAUUGGACAAUGGGCGCAAGCCUGAUCCAGCCAUGCCGCGUGCAGGAAGACGGCCCUAUGGGUUGUAAACUGCUUUUAUACGGGAAGAAUAAGGGACACGUGUGUCCUGGUGACGGUACCGUAAGAAUAAGGACCGGCUAACUCCGUGCCAGCAGCCGCGGUAAUACGAAGGGUCCGAGCGUUGCGCGGAAUCACUGGGCUUAAAGCGUACGCAGGCGGGCAUGCAGGCGUCUUGUGAAAUCCCUCGGCUCAACCGAGGAACUGCUUGACGAACCGCAUGCCUUGAGGCAGGUAGGGGCCGUCGGAACGAUAGGUGGAGUGGUGAAAUGCGUUGAUAUCUAUCGGAACGCCGAAGGAGUAAUCAGGCGGCUGGGCCUGUUCUGACGCUCAUGUACGAAAGCGUGGGGAGCGAACGGGAUUAGAUACCCCGGUAGUCCACGCCGUAAACGAUGUGCACUAGAUCGAGGGGGUUCUGACACCGCUCUCGGUCGAAGCGAAAGUGUUAAGUGCACCGCCUGGGGAGUACGGUCGCAAGGCUAAAACUCAAAGGAAUUGACGGGGGCUCACACAAGCGGUGGAGCAUGUGGCUUAAUUCGAAGCAACGCGAAGAACCUUAUCCUGGGCUUGACAUGCAUGGAUUAGCUUCUGGAAACAGGAGUAACGCGGCUUGCCGUGGAACAUGCACAGGUGCUGCAUGGCUGUCGUCAGCUCGUGCUGUGAAGUGUCGGGUUAAGUCCCUUAACGAGCGCAACCCCUGUCGCUAGUUACCAGCGCGUAAUGGCGGGGACUCUAGCGAGACUGCCGGUGUCAAACCGGAGGAAGGUGGGGAUGACGUCAAGUCCGCAUGGCCUUUAUGCCCAGGGCUGCACACGUGCUACAAUGGCCGGUACAGAACGACGCAAUGCCGCAAGGUGGAGCAAAUCGCCAAAGCCGGCCCCAGUUCGGAUUGGAGGCUGCAACUCGCCUCCAUGAAGUUGGAAUCGCUAGUAAUCGUGGAUCAGCUACGCCACGGUGAAUACGUUCCUGAGCCUUGUACACACCGCCCGUCAAGUCAUGGAAGCUGGCAGCGCCCGAAGUCGCCGCGAUUCAGCGGUGCCCACGGUGAGGCUGGUGACUGGGACUAAGUCGUAACAAGGUA